rnacentral:rRNA from 1 species
CCUACGGGAGGCAGCAGUGAGGAAUAUUGGUCAAUGGGCGGAAGCCUGAACCAGCCAAGUCGCGUGAGGGAAUACGGCCCUACGGGUCGUAAACCUCUUUUGCCGGGGAGCAAGGGCGGGGACGUGUCCCGGCCCGGAGAGUACCCGGAGAAAAAGCAUCGGCAAACUCCGUCCCAGCAUCCGCGGUAAGCGGGAGGAUGCGAGCGUUCUCCGACUUUAUUGGGUUUAAAGGGUGCGUAGGCGGGCUUUUAAGUCAGCGGGAAAAAUUAGGGGCUCAACCCCGUCCGGCCGUUGAAACUGGUGGCCUUGAGUGGGCGAGAAGAAGGCGGAAUGCGUGGUGUAGCGGUGAAAUGCAUAGAUAUCACGCAGAACCCCGAUUGCGAAGGCAGCCUUCCGGCGCCCUACUGACGCUGAGGCACGAAAGUGCGGGGAUCGAACAGGAGUAGAUACCCCGGUAGUC